CAUUGGCUGGACGGGAAUGGGUUGACAGGAGGCAGAAUUAGAAUUACUGGGUUAUUCAUCGUUAUCAUUUAUUGAGCUCUUGCUCUCAGCCCGAUGCUGCAGAAUACUUUGCAGAUAUGGUAUCAAAAUAACUCUGUAUGAUGGGUUACACUGAAGGUCCUGAACCACUCCCCGCUUUCCUCACCAUCCCUCAUUUUCUUUACUUUUCCUGGCCCAGCACUCUCUCACUUACUCUUUUUCUCUCUUACACACACACACACACACACACACACACACACACACACAAACACACGUGGCCUGCGGAGACAAAUACAGGGAGCACACCGGCUCAGGCAGCACAGAGGAACACAGCGCUGACAGGACCAAAUGCUCCUUCUUGUCUGGGGUGUCAGCUGCCGAGACUACACCUGGGAG